ensembl:ncRNA lncRNA:CR43909 long non-coding RNA:CR43909
AUAAAACAAAAGCCCAAUACCCAGCACACACACACACACACAACACGCAUUCUGUAGAUUCGGAAAAGAGCGAGAUCUAUUUAAAGAUUGACUACUGCCAGGAAGAGCGACGGCGACAUUUUCACGCUGCUGACUGGGCCGGGGGAAAAUUCAACGCACCUCAAAUAAAAAUGUAUCUAGGCAUCCGCAAGAUGCUGUGUGUGUGUGUGUGCAGAUGACAAGUUUUCUCUGCCGCCGAGAAGCUCGAUGUGAAAAAUCACAAGCAGAAAUUUCGAAAAUUGAGCACACGCCAUGCGAAAUAAUAAAGCUAUGUGAAUUCCGCCCAGAGAACGAAAUUUGUUAAAAAUACAUUUCAAAUUUCUAGAGGGAAAAAUUAUGAAAUAAACUAGACCAGAGAGACGGGCGAAAAUCAAGCGAAUUCGGAAGUUAACUGGGUCUAUACUUGUAUAUACUUAUGUAUGUAUAUAGAUAUAGAAGAUCUUCAAACUUAAGCCCAAAACCAUUUCACCAGUGACAUUUGGUUGUGGAAUUUUGAUGCUACCAAGUUUAAUGACCAACACACGCGAGCAUGCCAAACAAUAAAAGGAGAAAAAAAAAAGAAGAGCUCAAAUACCAACGAACUUUAGAAAUCGGUCCCAAAUGCCAACUCACACGGAUAUACAUAGAAAUCAAUAGCUCUGACUGAGAUUACAGCACUUCUGGCCGAACCGCCGAGCCACUCUGGAGAUCUUGGAAUGCGCCCGACCAAGCGGAGUAAAAUGUGAAGUGGUGGCAUCUGUAAACCCGUUUUGGGUCAGCUUUUACACGUUGUUUGGGCGGCCGCUUCAUUGACAUUUCGCCUCGCAUCGAACGCAGGAAAAACAACAAAAUACAACAAUAAACAACGACAAUAAUGUUAAUAAGACAACAACACAACUUUCACUUGUACGCAUCGGCGGAAAGAUGAAAAACAUUCAAAACUCCAGCAGGCGCAUCUCAUGAAUGGGCAAGAUGAAAAGCAUCGCUGGAGCUGGGACUGGCUCAAAACCGCGACAGGUGUCGCCACACAUUCUCCACGUCUUCUGGGUGGAUUUACUCAAGGGAAAUCUUUGUGGGAAGCUCCACAGUCUUCUACUACAUUUCUACUACAAACUAACUUGUUGCAAUUUGUCAAGAGUUUAUAGUUUAUUAAAUAGAGACAGUACUUUUUGGCUAAACAGGUGCUCUAUGUAUCAAUCUACAUAUAUGUAUUACAAAUAAUAUAUAUGUAUAUUGCUUU